GAUGAACGCUGGCGGCGUGCCUAAUACAUGCAAGUCGAGCGAACAGACGAGGAGCUUGCUCCUUUGACGUUAGCGGCGGACGGGUGAGUAACACGUGGGUAACCUACCUAUAAGACUGGGAUAACUUCGGGAAACCGGAGCUAAUACCGGAUAAUAUUUCGAACCGCAUGGUUCGAUAGUGAAAGAUGGCUUUGCUGUCACUUAUAGAUGGAUCCGCGCCGCAUUAGCUAGUUGGUAAGGUAACGGCUUACCAAGGCAACGAUACGUAGCCGACCUGAGAGGGUGAUCCGCCACACUGGAACCGAGACACGGUCCAGACUCCUACGGGAGGCAGGAGUAGGGAAUCUUCCCCAAUGGGCGAAAGGCUGACGGAGCAACGCCGGCGGAGUGAAGAAGGUCUUCGGAUCGUAAAACCCUUUUAAUUGGGAAGAACAAAAGUUGAAGUAACUUUGGACGUCUUGACGGUACCUAAACAAAAAGCCACGGCUAACUUCGUG
rnacentral:rRNA from 1 species